rfam:Myotis lucifugus cont2.18545, whole genome shotgun sequence.
GGCAGCAUGGCUCAGUGGUUGAGUGUCAACCUAUGAAGUUGGAGGUCAGGGUUUGAUUCCCAGUCAGGCCA